AGUUAACUUCAGACGGCGUGGGCAUAACACCUGGCCCCCUUUAAGCUCGUUUUAAAAACGUUACUCGGUUUCACUCGGCGGAGGUGCUGGCUUGAACAGACAAGUUCAGAGAAUUGCCAACCGAAGGCAUAAUUCUCCAGAGGCCUUCACGGGGUGUAAGAGAAGAGAGGAGCUAGACUCCUUGCUUGGGGACACACCCUUGGUAUAGGAUACUUGAGGAGGUUUUCUCAAACAAUGAUGAAGGCCUUAUUAACAAAAAGUUACCCAAAGAACUUCUGUUAAGAAUGCUGUUCAGCUUGUUGUUAAAUUUUACUUGGUCUAAUCCAGAAUGUACUAAGUAUGUACAUAGCAUUGGUCUGGAUUCUUUUUGUAAUGUGAGUCUGUAAGGGGAAUUUAAAAUAUUGCCACUACAGAUCUUCUCCAACUCAAUAUUUUCCUUCUUGGAUAUAGUAACUUUGUGCCGAUGUGCACAGAUUUCCAAGGCUUGGAACAUCUUAGCCCUGGAUGGAAGCAACUGGCAAAGAAUAGAUCUUUUUAACUUUCAAACAGAUGUAGAGG
rnacentral:sRNA from 1 species